GACGAACGCUGGCGGCGUGCUUAACACAUGCAAGUCGAACGGAAAGGCCCUGCUUUUGUGGGGUGCUCGAGUGGCGAACGGGUGAGUAACACGUGAGUCACCUGCCCUUGACUUUGUGAUAACUUCAAGAAACUGGGGCUAAUACCUGCUACGAGCUCCUGCUGCAUGGUGGGGUUUGGAAAGUUUCGGCGGUUGGGGCUGGACUCGCGGCUUAUCAGCUUGUUGGUGGAGUAGUGGCUUACCAAGGCUUUGACGGGUAGCCGGCCUGAGAGGGUGACCGGCCACAUUGGGACUGAGAUACGGCGCAGACUCCUACGGGAGGCAGCAGUGGGGAAUAUUGCACAAUGGGCGGAAGCCUGAUGCAGAAAUGCCGCGUGCGGGAUGAAGGCUUUCGGGUUGGAAACCGCUUUAGCCUGUGACGAAGCGUGAGUGACGGUAAUGGGUAAAGAAGCACCGGCUAACUACGUG
rnacentral:rRNA from 1 species